AAGGAUCAUUAUCAGAAAAUUUCAUUAUUUUUUGAAAUAUUUUUCCAAUUUCCCCCUGUGUAUUGUACUCCAUGUUGCUUCCACUAGACUGGUAUUUAAAAUACCCUUCAACCCACUAAUACUUUGGAGGAUUGAAGUAAUGUCGGUGGAUAGCCUUAAACUAAACGAAGUUUUUUGUUUUAAAUAAUAGUCUGAUAAAAGUUAAAAAAUAAUAAUAAAAACUUUCAACAACGGAUCUCUAGGCUCUUGCAUCGAUGAAGAACGCAGUGAAAUGUGAUAAGUAAUGUGAAUUGCAGAAUCUCGUGAAUCAUCGAAUCUUUGAACGCACAUUGCGCCCAAUGGUAUUCCACUGGGCAUACCUGUUUGAGUGUCAGAAUCCUUCUAAUAAUCAAACUUUUAUAUAUCCAUAUAAAGAUGUUUGGAUGUUAAUUGAGAAGAGUAGUAUCGUUAUAAUAUUACUUUCUUAAAAACCAGAAAUAUUUUGUUUUGGUUUUCUUCCCAACUCAUUUUAUAUUUAAUAUAGCAAAUGAGUGUGACUUUAACAAGGAACAAUAAUAAUACUUUUUGGAUGACCUCAAAUCAGGUAGGGAUACCCGCUGAACUUAA
rnacentral:rRNA from 1 species